UACGUAGGGUGCAAGCGUUGUCCGGAAUUAUUGGGCGUAAAGAGCUCGUAGGCGGCUCGUUGCGUCAACCGUGAAAACCCGGGGCUUAACUUCGGGCUUGCGGUUGAUACGGGCGGGCUGGAGUUCGGUAGGGGAGACUGGAAUUCCUGGUGUAGCGGUGAAAUGCGCAGAUAUCAGGAGGAACACCGGUGGCGAAGGCGGGUCUCUGGGCCGAUACUGACGCUGAGGAGCGAAAGCGUGGGGAGCGAACAGG
rnacentral:rRNA from 1 species